rnacentral:rRNA from 1 species
UACAAAGGUAAGCUCAAAUUGGAUUAUAUUAUCAAUUGUAGAGCGUAAUGGUAUAAGCUUGCUUGACUGUAAGAUAGACAUAUCAAACAGGGACGAAAGUCGGUCAUAGU